GGCCAGACUCCUACGGGAGGCAGCAGUGAGGAAUAUUGGUCAAUGGCCGUAAGGCUGAACCAGCCAAGUAGCGUGAGGGAAGACGGUCCUAUGGAUUGUAAACCUCUUUUGUCGGGGAACAAAGGCGGAGACGCGUCUCCGGAUGAGUGUACCCGAAGAAAAAGCAUCGGCUAACUCCGUGCCAGCAGCCGCGGUAAUACGGAGGAUGCGAGCGUUAUCCGGAUUUAUUGGGUUUAAAGGGUGCGCAGGCGGGAGAUCAAGUCAGCGGUAAAAUGUCGGGGCUCAACCCCGGCCGGCCGUUGAAACUGGUUUUCUAGAGUUGGAGAGAAGUAUGCGGAAUUCGUGGUGUAGCGGUGAAAUGCAUAGAUAUCACGAAGAACUCCGAUUGCGAAGGCAGCAUACCGGCUCCAUACUGACGCUGAGGCACGAAAGCGUGGGGAUCGAACAGGAUUAGAUACCCCUGUA
rnacentral:rRNA from 1 species